rnacentral:rRNA from 1 species
CUAGCUGUAAACGAUGGAUACUAGGCGUUGAGAGUAUCGACCCUCUCAGUGUCGUAGCUAACGCGUUAAGUAUCCCGCCUGGGGAGUACGCGCGCAAGCGUGAAACUCAAAGGAAUUGACGGGGGCCCGCACAAGCGGUGGAGUAUGUGGUUUAAUUCGAUGCAACGCGAAGAACCUUACCAGGGCUUGACAUGUCCGGAACCCUGCCCAAAGGUGGGGGUGCCUACGGGAACCGGAACACAGGUGGUGC